rfam:Mesocricetus auratus contig113991, whole genome shotgun sequence.
GUAUGCUUGCUUUGGCAGUACACAUACUAAAAUAGGAAUGGUACAGAGAAGACUAGCUUGGCCCCUGUGCAGGGAUGAUACACAAAUCCAUGAAGUGUUUCACAUUUAG